rnacentral:rRNA from 1 species
UACGUAGGGCGCAAGCGUUAUCCGGAAUUAUUGGGCGUAAAGAGCUCGUAGGCGGUUUGUCGCGUCUGCCGUGAAAGUCCGGGGCUCAACUCCGGAUCUGCGGUGGGUACGGGCAGACUAGAGUGAUGUAGGGGAGACUGGAAUUCCUGGUGUAGCGGUGAAAUGCGCAGAUAUCAGGAAGAACACCUAUGGCGAAAGCAGCUCUCUGGGACGGUACUGACGCUGAGACGCGAAAGCGUGGGGAGCGAACAGG